rnacentral:lncRNA from 1 species
UUUAAUUUAUUUUUCAAAAACCCACGCCUUAGUGUGAACCCGCAAAAUAAAGCCCUCCGCCCCAAAAUUCAUAUAGCCGGAGCAAGCCUCAGUUUUGUCGACCUUCAACCGUCGGUGUUUCGGCCAGCAAUCGUCGGUUCUCUACCUUCAUUAUCUUUGGGAUUAUCAAAUCUCGGGUCUUCCUCUAUCUAUCUUCAUAUCUUUAGCUCGAUAUUUCUUAGGGUAUUACUUAUUGAAGUUAUUUAGGAGUCCAUCUAUAUGCAAACUGAAGUAUUUCAUGCGAAAAGUUUCAAAUAGUGGAACAUGAAUUCUCAAAUUUGAUUUUAUAGGUGGAAGAAAUUUUUCUGUAUGCGAGAUUAAAGUGGAAUUUGCCCCCUUUUCAGUUAAGAUUCUUCUUCUUUGAUUUUUUUUUUUCUUAAUUACCUGUUUUGACCCAUUUUCUUAUAGUUUUUUUCUGCUAUUUCUAGUUAGUAGUUUUCCUAUUAUCUUUUGGAGAUAGCGACUUCGCUAAAGGAAGGAAUGAAAAAGAUAAAUUAAAUUAGUUUUAUAGUGCAUUUCAUCAAAAUGAUCUCACUUGGAUUUGCGAUGGUUAAUUGAAAAUGCAACAUUGGAACUCUAGUACCAGAACAUUUGCAAUUUAAAAUUUUUUCAAGUAUGAAUUUUAUGUAUGUUUUAUAGCGACUUAACCCUGCAUGUCGAAGUAUAAUAUUGAAGUGUAAUAUUUUCGCCACUGAUUGUUGUGAGAUAUUAUUCUCCUUAGUUCUUCAUGUUCCAUUCACCAAAUGGUGUAUCUAUAGCUUAAUGCCUCAUUAUCUUACUAUUUCCACCAAACAAAGUGAAAAGAAGUAAAGUUAUAUACACAAAUAUUGUGGAAAUUAUAUACACUAAUGGAGGACUGGAUGAUUUAAUCUAGGAAGAUCACGUAAUAAUAACCUUAAUUCAUCGCCAUAUCCUCUUAUAUUCCUUAUGCAUGAUACUUCAUAUGCCUUUUGGUAAAAUAAUCCUAGAAUGUUGUAGGUAAUUGAAUUUUGUUGAUAUAUCUCUUGUACAUUGUGUCGUGAAUCUAGUAUUUAGUUGUUUGCUACUGCUUUUAAGUUUAUUUCUCUGUUGCAAAGAUCAAGUAGCUUUCCAUUCGGUGAUAAUUUUGUAAGUAUCCCAUGUUCCUUCUUAUUCUUUAAUGUUCCGCCGUGACCUCCUCUAUCAAACCCCCAAAGCCCCUUCCCUCGAAUCUGACUGGAACCCUUCGAAUACUAAAUUGAAGUUUUCCGGCCAAAACCUUAAUUACUCCAAACUACUCCAAAUUGAUACCACAUGGUCCCCUGGAUUCCCUCAUGAGGAAUUAAGCGUCAAUAGCACUCAAUUCCCACAGGAGAUGGCCGGAUUUGAACUUUGAGAGUUAGCCGGAGUUUUGAAACCGAGUUAGUGAGUUCCCCGAUUUUCUUCUCUUUUUCCUUUCUGGCGUUAAUUUAUUUGUCAUGACUGUUUGGCUUCUUGAUUACAUACUAAUCUUGGUUGUUAAUAAGUGCUAAUCCAAAAAUCAAUAAGUCCUCUUCAAUUCUGUUUCAAUUUCGUUCAACAGUUAUUUCAGUCCGAUCUUAUCAUUGUUUUAGUUUCUAGUUUAGUUUUGUUUGAUUGGUUUAAACUUGCCUGGGUAAUUCUUGGUGUUAGCUUAAUUGUUGUUUGAAUCCGUUCUAAUACAUGUUACAGUUUAUAAUUCUAAUUGAUUUUGUCUGGCCAUUGUUUGAUUUUAAUCUGCAUUGUUUGAUUUGCUAGUUUUGAUCAGUCAGUUUAAUUUAGUUUAAAUUCAUUAGUUGCAUUAGUAAUUCCAUACUCAAGGAUUAGUUUAAGGUUUGUUAGUGUUCUUGCUUAGCUCUUUAGGAUCAAUAAUUUCAGAUAGAUAAAGGGUAGUUUAGGCAUUUCUGACAAAGAAUAUUGUAGUAACUGAGAAUGAACUUCCUAGAAGCUUCUAAAUGGGGGCUUUAGGUAAAUUACAAAAGAUAAGUGUACUAACUUGGGUAACAAGUCAAUAAGUAGAGGACUAUUGUGAAAAUAGAAGAAGGACCAAAAGGAAAAUAGAAAAAUUGAGGGUUGCCCUCAUUAUUGCCUAUAAAAGGCAGUCCUCUUUGCUUCAUUCAUAAGUUUGGACCCCCAAAAUUCCCCCCAAAACAGUCUUAGUUCCUAGAAGUUAAUUUGAAUUUCAAAUUCAAACAUUAGAUCUCAAAUUUUCUUUCUCAUCUUAGAAAAAUCAAAAAAAUACACAAAAGCCACAGCAAAAUACAAAAAAACACUGUUACAUUGAUCAUUUUUUCAGAUUUCAGCUCUUAAUUCAACUGGUUGGAUCAUUUAGGAUAAAAAACAACUCGAAUUUCUCUAUUUGUGUUCUAUGUUCGAGAGUUAAAGCAUUUGCAAGUAGUUUGGGGUUUAUUCAAGUUGUUAUUGAUGUUUCUAAGUGUUGACUAGUUUUCUGGGCUUCUGGGCUCAAUUUCAAGUCUAUUUGCGUCUAUUCAAGUCAUCUUAGUUGAUUCGUGGUUCUAUCUUAUUUUGAUCACUUUCUGGAUUAUCGAGUUCAUCUCUGGGCUGUAUUUGAUUCCUGCUUGCUACUGCGGCUGAUACUUCUUCCUUUUUUUGUGAUUCUAAUACCAG